UGGGGAAUAUUGCACAAUGGGCGAAAGCCUGAUGCAGCGACGCCGCGUGAGGGAUGACGGCCUUCGGGUUGUAAACCUCUUUCAGUAGGGACGAAGCGCAAGUGACGGUACCUGCAGAAGAAGCACCGGCUAACUACGUGCCAGCAGCCGCGGUAAUACGUAGGGUGCGAGCGUUGUCCGGAAUUACUGGGCGUAAAGAGCUCGUAGGCGGUUUGUCACGUCGUCUGUGAAAUCCUAGGGCUUAACCCUGGACGUGCAGGCGAUACGGGCUGACUUGAGUACUACAGCGGAGACUGGAAUUUCUGGUGUAGCGGUGGAAUGCACAGGUAUCAGGAAGAACACCGAUGGCGAAGGCAAGUCUCUGGGUAGUAACUGACGCUGAGGAGCGAAAGCAUGGGUAGCGAACAGG
rnacentral:rRNA from 1 species